UACGUAGGGUGCAAGCGUUAAUCGGAAUUACUGGGCGUAAAGCGUGCGCAGGCGGUGAUGCAAGGCAGAUGUGAAAUCCCCGGGCUUAACCUGGGAACUGCAUUUGUGACUGCAUUGCUGGAGUGCGGCAGAGGGGGAUGGAAUUCCGCGUGUAGCAGUGAAAUGCGUAGAUAUGCGGAGGAACACCGAUGGCGAAGGCAAUCCCCUGGGCCUGCACUGACGCUCAUGCACGAAAGCGUGGGGAGCAAACAGG
rnacentral:rRNA from 1 species